UCCGUAGGUGGCAAGCGUUGUCCGGAUUUACUGGGCGUAAAGCGCGCGCAGGUGGCCUGUCGCGUCCGAGGUGAAAUCUCCCGGCUCAACUGGGAGGGGUCUUCGGAUACGGGCAGGCUUGAGGAGAGCAGAGGUAGGCGGAAUUCUGGGUGUAGUGGUGAAAUGCGUAGAUAUCCAGAGGAACACCAGUGGCGAAGGCGGCCUACUGGGCUCCACCUGACACUGAGGCGCGAAAGCGUGGGGAGAGAACCGG
rnacentral:rRNA from 1 species